rnacentral:rRNA from 1 species
GUCCACGCCGUAAACGAUGAAUGCCAGCCGUUGGGGAGCUUGCUCUUCGGUGGCGCAGCUAACGCAUUAAGCAUUCCGCCUGGGGAGUACGAUCGCAAGAUUAAAACUCAAAGGAAUUGACGGGGGCCCCGCACAAGCGGUGGAGCAUGUGGUUCAAUUCGAAGCAACGCGCAGAACCUUACCAGCCCUUGACAUGGCAGGACGGUUUCCAGAGAUGGAUUCCUUCCCUUCGGGGACCUGCACACAGGUGCUGCAUGGCUGUCGU